ensembl:snRNA Gm23376 predicted gene, 23376
AUAUAGACCUGCUUAGGGAGAUACCAUGAUCAAGAAAGUGGUUUUCCUAGGGCAAGCUUCGUCCAUUACACUUGGGAUGUGCUAACCCCUGCGAUUUCCCCAAAUACAGAAAAUUCCACUGCCUAAUUUGUGGUAGUGGGGGACUUCAUUCUCUCCCUCC